rnacentral:rRNA from 1 species
UACGAAGGGUGCAAGCGUUACUCGGAAUUACUGGGCGUAAAGCGUGCGUAGGUGGUUUGUUAAGUCUGAUGUGAAAGCCCUGGGCUCAACCUGGGAACGGCAUUGGAAACUGGCUUACUAGAGUGCGGUAGAGGGGUGUGGAAUUCCAGGUGUAGCGGUGAAAUGCGUAGAUAUCUGGAGGAAUACCGGUGGCGAAGGCGGCGUUCUGGACUGCAACUGACACUGAUGAACGAAAGCCAGGGGAGCAAACGGG